GACAGAGGAGCCAAGCGUUGUCCGGAUUGACUGGGCGUAAAGCGCACGCAGGCGGUCGCGCGCGUGGGGUGUGAAAGGUGGCGGCUUAACUGCCAGAUGCCAUCCCAUACGGCGCGACUGGAGGCAUGGAGAGGUCCACGGAAUUGCCGGUGUAGUGGUGAAAUGCGUAGAGAUCGGCAGGAACACCCAGGGGGAAAC
rnacentral:rRNA from 1 species